AUUUUGAGACUUCUUUUAAGGAAUUAUGGAUAUAAAAAAAUAAAAUAUUUUAUUUUUUUAACCGAAAUUUCAGAUUCUUAGAAUCAUUUCUGUGAUGAAAGAGGUUGACUCAAUAGUUGACUAAAUGCUCUACUCAUUACCAAUGUAUUAAAAUAGAAAUAUACAAAACGUAGAUAAAGACCAUCUAGAUAUUUAAGAUUUCUAUGUUGUACUAGUAUAAAGACAAUAUGAGGUAUAUUACAUUUUUUCUUCUAUGUAACCAUUUGGUUCUGUACUGUUGUUAGACAUUCAUUUCUUCACCAAGAUAAAACACAAAAUGGUCAUGAGGAUGAUGCUUAAUGCUUUUGUUAUGAAAAUAAGUACCUAAGAGUUUGUAUUUAAACCCAUAUAAAGCAGUAUAAUAUAUUCAUAAAAGCUAUUUGACCAGUUUUCUGUCAGAAUUACACUUAUAAUGCAUUCUGUGUGAGAGUAUGCACACGUCUUGUGAAUAGAGACAUAUCAUUUGAAUAAUUUAUAGAUGUUUGACAGAGUGUGAUUUUUAUGUGGUGUAAACAGAAUUGUAUGGUCACAAAGAAAUCAUGUUUCACAAUGCAAAUAAUAUAUUACAAGUAUAUUCUAACUUGUUAUGUUUUAUUCUAUUGCCAUAAUCAC
rnacentral:lncRNA from 1 species